rnacentral:lncRNA from 1 species
UUAAACAUAACAUACCAUUUCAUUAAUACAAUUUAUAGAUUAGGCAUAAAUCAUUACCACUACCAUAGACUUUGUAUAAGCCUAUACAACAUCAUCAAACUCACAAGUUAGUACACUUGUUCAUGAUACAAAUGAGUUCAACCAUAAGAUAAGUAGAUUUACAUAUGUAAAUACAUCAUUUAGCUCAUAAAUAUUUUCGUAAGAUCAUGAUUCAAUUCAUUUGCAUACUUGCCAUAUCAUUUCCUUUUCUUACUCAUUGAACCAUUUAGAAUUACAUCGGAUACUCAGGAAUGCUCACACAUAGUGUGCUUUUCCAUAUAACCGUAACCUUUCCUUUACAUCAAUGCUCACGCGAGCUGUGAAAUGGGCUUGCUCACACGAGUUGUGGGUCGAAAUGUAAGCUAUACGAUGCUGCUCACACGAGUUUUGGAGAAUCCGCAACAAAUGCAAGACUUCAGCCAUCAAUAGGACAUUCAAGACCAGUACCUGAAACAUGAAAUCCUUAAUGAAAUGUCAUUUGUAUCCUAAGAAUUCUUAAGGUUAAACCGAGACUCUUUAUUCAUCAAUUCAUCAUAGCAUUGUUACAUAUAUGUUCAAAUCCAUUUACAAUUAACACAAUAUAAUAUAUAAUCAAAUUAACUAGCAUUAACACAAUUACAGUUCAUUCGAACUUACUUUAAUAACUAAGGUCAUAGUAGUAGAGUCGAACUAAUCUGAAGCUUUCGUUUUUCCUCGAUUUAAUUUUGAAUAUCAUUUAUAUUAAUCUAAAUAGAUAAUUUUAAUCAGUUAAUUACUUCUAGUAUUGAAUUUAAUCCAUAGUUCAUAUUUAUGCAAAAUUAUGAAUUUUCACCCUAACAUUUUAACUUUUCACAAGUUAGUCUUUAAGCUCAUAACUUGAAUAUAACUCAUUUUAACCUAGACCAUGUAGCACCCCAAACCCGGCCUAGAAGUUAUGGCCGGAUCCGGCAUGCCACAUCAAAAACGUAAAAAAAAAAUUUCGUUCUAAGUCCAGAAAAUCGUACUUGAUUUUCAAAAGAUUAAUUCAUUAAAGGUUAAAGUGAAUGGAAGCUGUGCACUAGGUAGGAAACCGGAAAAGAGGUGGUGAGUCCAUUGGACUACUUAAGUACCAAGCUCCCUUCGGAUCCAAUCCUAGACAUGCAUACUGCCAUUGCCACACCUUAACGUCAUGGAUAUUUUUAGGAAACCGAUUUGAUUAAGUCAUUUUUAGGAAAAGUGAUUAAUUUUGGAAAAUACUUUCAUUGCGAAAGCUUUGCUUGUUGUCGUGUUAUUUUGAAAUCAACUGUUGUUUUUGAAAACGCGCCCUAAAGCUAUCCAAUUUCAACAGUUAAAAUAAGUAUUACCUAUCUUAGUAAUACAUAUUAAAAACCAUCAAAAAUAAAUAAGCGGCCUUAUAACAUUUAAAAACCCAAAACUUCAAACGUAAAUAAAAGGAUGUCCAGUUCACCAGAAGAAAAUCAAACUUUCAGAACAGGUGUCCACUCCGAAUUCCCUCACAGCUCCAAGCCCACUAUGGUUGGGGAUUACCUGCGUGGAUGAAAAUAAAAGGGGUGAGUUUGGGGAAACUCAGUGUGUAAAUUAACCCAACCAUAGCCUAUAUCAGCUCAAACCACAGAAAUAGAAUAAGUUGGCCUUAGCCCAGAACAGAAUUCAGAAUAAAGCCCAUAGGCCCAUAGCAGAACAGAACAGAUAUUACAUGUUUAUGCAGAAACCCAACCAUAUCCAACCGUAUACACCCCCAUACCAACCUUACACCGUGUGGGGAGACAACUCGACCCACCCAACCGCUACACACCACAGAAUUUGCAGCAUGGCUGCCAGAACAGAUAAUGUGACAGAGUCACCAGAUACAGAUAAUCGUGGCAGAGCCACCAGAACAAAUAUAUGUGGCAGAGCCACCAGAUCAGAUAUUUGUGGCAGAGCCACCAGAUCAGAUAUUUGUGGCAUAGCCACCAGAAUGCUUCCUCCAUAAUAUAACCCAUGUCCCCAUGCAACAGAUAUAUAAUCAUGGCAUACAUCAUACAGAAUCAGAUCGCUAUGCUUUUCAGUCAAAAUUAACCCUAUGGGUAUAACGGUAAUUUUGCACCUAGGGGUAUAACAGUAAUUUUCCAUACAUAGGGGUAUUAUAGUAAUUUAGCUACUUUUAGAGUUUUCAUGCAUAUCCUAACUAUUUACGUACUAUCAGAAAACUUACCGCGCAUACUUAUCGAAUUGGGCCCGUUGGGCCAUGAACUCGAUCUUUAGCCCAUUAAGCCCAAAUUAUCAAAAUGUACGAAAUCGCGCGUACUGCAGUUUAUUACUUUAGAUUACCAAAUAUACAAACCCAACUAUCUUACGAGCAUUCGCACACUCGCAAAUUCCCAAAAUACCGACUUUUCGGCAUUUCGGCUUUUCGGCUUUUGCCAAUCUAGUCUAUGAGAGGGUGUCAGUUACACACCUGUUUGCGACGAUAUGCUGACGAGAUCCACACACGAACCGCCUACAAUUGGAUUACUAACACGUUAAUCUAACUAUUCAAAUACAAACUACGUAUUAACCCCUUACAAUAUUUGGCCAACCACACCUACAGAUCAUAGUAAGCUUAUAAGAAAUCAAUAAGCAACUCAUUAACAAAUUUUUGUCAAUGUUUACCACAUAAUCAUAAUUUCACUGCAAGCUGUCUUCCUGAGCAACAGUCACUAAAUUAUUUAUAACUGGAGCUACGAAACUCCAAAUCAAGUGCCGUUAAUUUUUCCUGAAAAUAGACUCAUAUAUAUUUUAUCCAUAAAAUUUUCAGAAUUUUUGGUAUGGCCAAUCAAUACCAGAUUUUUCUUAAAGUUUCCCAUGUUUCACUGUUUGACUAAUCUGACCACUCUUCAUUACGAAUCAAAUUUCUCAUUGUACAGAAUUCAAAAUAUGUUCUUGUUUAUUUCAUUAGAAACUAGGCUCAAUAAGAUUUAAUUACAUAAUUUAUUCAGCUUCUAAUUCAUCUCCCACAAUUUAUGGUGAUUUUCCAAAGUCACGUUACUGCUGCUGUCCCAAGCAGAUUUAUUACCAAAUCACACUUUCACACAUACCUUGCAUGCAUGUUAUUUAAACAUGUAUAUCACCGAUCAAUCAUCACAUAUCUAUGAUUUUACUUAAGUAUAAUCUCCAUUUCAUCAUUUUAAAGCACAACAUGUUAGAUGAUUUUUCCCUUUAACAUCUAAGGCACAUGCAUGCUCAUUUGUUUGGCUCAACUUCACCUAUCUUCCAUUUUUCAUCAAAAGAACAUGAAACAACAACCAUUUCCUUCAUUUUAAUUCAUGACUAAAUGCUCACAACACAACUAAAAAUCAAAAUAUACUUCAAAAGUUAAGGUAGAAUCAAGAAGAACUUAUGAACCUCAAAAUAGAAGCAAGGUACCAAGAACUUACCUUCAAUUUUCCUCCUCCUAAUGACCAAAUACUCAAGAGCUUUCUCCUCUCCUUUCUCUUCUCUAACUUUCAGUUAUGAUGAACAAAGAUGGACAAAACUUUGUUCUUUU